GCGUACAGGCAAAAUUAAUGCAUAAUACAGGCUUCUAGUAUAGGAAUACCCCUAUGAUACACAAUAAAUGGGCCGCUGGUGUCGUCAUGAGUACAGGCCAGGACAGGAUCUCCACGGCCCGAAUUAGUGAGACCUGACAGCUGUUGCCCAAUUGAUGUCGCUGCAGCAUUGCAGCUCCGCUCCCGGGUCUUCUUCAACCUCGCAUCAAAUCCUCAGAUACUGAGCAGAGGAUAAAGUACCCAGCCCAAAAUAUAUACAAUAUUCAGCAAUCAGUAAUGGAGAGGGGCAGAGGGCGCGGCCUGAUGGUCGUUUUCAUGUUUGUAGUUUCUGAGAGAGAGACAAUGGAUGAUUCAAGGUAGGGAUGGGGAUGGAGCUCGGAACAGGCCGGCACAGAAUUAAUUGCUGCACUUAACCCCCGUGGUGACGCCACGUUUGUGGGGCCCUAUUCCUCUGUACUCUAGGUGCGUUCAGCCGAAAUACAAUUUCGUGUACACAAACACAAAGUACCUACGCGGGAGUGUACAUGUAAUGGACGGCUCGGGAUAUACUCCAAAAUCUAAGGGGGGCACCGACAGCGCCAAAUUCAUUCAGCUCAUAAACAGAAGUACUUUUACCUCCAGCUCUGCAUAAGGUCAUGUUUAGGGGUCCUGCUGUAAAUGCUCUAAGAUGGAUCCAGUGCAUUUAAACCAACUUGUAUGGGCUCCCCCGGACAAUAAACUCGACCUUACCAUUGUAUCUUCUGGUAAUGGGUUUGCAUUGAUUUAUCCCAGAAACAAAUAGUCUGGGAUGGUCCAAAAUGUACACAGACAUGGCGUGGACAAAU